rnacentral:rRNA from 1 species
UGGGGAAUAUUGCGCAAUGGGCGAAAGCCUGACGCAGCAACGCCGCGUGAGUGAUGAAGGCCUUCGGGUCGUAAAGCUCUGUCGGAGGGAACGAAUGCUCCUGAAGUUAACAGCCUCAGGAGGUGACGGUACCCUCAAAGGAAGCACCGGCUAACUCUGUGCCAGCAGCCGCGGUAAUACAGAGGGUGCAAGCGUUAAUCGGAAUUACUGGGCGUAAAGCGCGCGUAGGUGGUUAGUUAAGUUGGAUGUGAAAUCCCCGGGCUCAACCUGGGAACCGCAUUCGAGACUGUGUUGCUGGAGUACGGAAGAGGAGGGCGGAAUUCCCGGUGUAGCGGUGAAAUGCGUAGAUAUCGGGAGGAACAUCAGUGGCGAAGGCGGCCCUCUGGUCCAGUACUGACACUCAAGUGCGAAAGCGUGGGGAGCAAACAGGAUUAGAUACCCACGUAGUCCCUGAGCGGGCUGGCAAGGCGCAU